rnacentral:rRNA from 1 species
AAUUUUGGACAAUGGGGGAAACCCUGAUCCAGCCAUCCCUCUCGCAUUAUGUAGGCAUUCGGGUUGUCAAGUACGUUUGGCAGAGAAGAAUAGGUACCUCCUAAUACGAGGUACUGCUGACGGUAUCUGCAGAAUAAGAACUGGCUAACUACGUGCCAGCAUCAGCGGUAAUACGUAGGGUGCAAUCGUUAAUCGGAAUUACUGGGCGUAAAGCGUGUGUACGGGGUUCGGAAAGAAAGAUGUGAAAUCCCAGGGCUCAACCUUGGAACUGCAUUUUUAACUGCCGAGCUAGAGUAUGUCAGAGGGGGGUAGAAUUCCACGUGUAGCAGUGAAAUGCGUAGAUAUGUGGAGGAAUACCGAUGGCGAAGGCAGCCCCCUGGGAUAAUACUGACGCUCAGACACGAAAGCGUGGGGAGCAAACA